UACAGAGGGGGCAAGCGUUGUUCGGAAUUACUGGGCGUAAAGGGCGCGUAGGCGGCCUGUUAAGUCGAACGUGAAAUCCCCGGGCUCAACCCGGGAACUGCGUCCGAUACUGGCAGGCUUGAAUCCGGGAGAGGGAUGCGGAAUUCCAGGUGUAGCGGUGAAAUGCGCAGAUAUCAGGAGGAACACCGGUGGCGAAGGCGGGUCUCUGGGCCGUAACUGACGCUGAGGAGCGAAAGCGUGGGGAGCGAACAGG
rnacentral:rRNA from 1 species